GUGGACACGGCGUCUUAGAAUUAUUAAUUUUUUGUGUUUAUAAUCGCGAAAAUAGGCGAUUUCGUUUUGUUUUUGCGACGCUCGCCACCUCUUGUCAGUUGCUUUAGAUGUGGAACAGCAGUUGGUUGUGGUCAAGUAGGUUUUAGCGUCAGCUCUUGUAGGCGCUCGUCGAUCUGGAUUUUGAGAGUAGCAGGAAGGAUGGAUUUUGCAGCUCCGCGCUGGGUGCCCUGGUCAGCAGCUUUUGUGGCCCGUCUUUUGCAGCGCUGCAUUGCAGGUAGAUUGCAUCGGUGAUGAGGGAUACUGUCAGGGACCGUGUGGCGAGAAAGUUCAGGAUCAGCUGGAGUGCGUUGUCUUGGGCUUGUUCAUCCGGGUGCGUUGAGGAAAAUUAAGCUGAGUCGAGGAAGGUGGUGACCGUGCACGAGUUUGGGAGCUGACUGGAGUGCGCUUUUCCAUCGGAUAUAGAUAUCGUUAAUAUAUUUAUAAAUAGAUGUAGAUUUAAUUGGAUGUGUCCAUGU